UACGGGGGGGCAAGCGUUGUUCGGAAUUACUGGGCGUAAAGGGCUCGUAGGCGGCCAACUAAGUCAGACGUGAAAUCCCUCGGCUUAACCGGGGAACUGCGUCUGAUACUGGAUGGCUUGAGUUUGGGAGAGGGAUGCGGAAUUCCAGGUGUAGCGGUGAAAUGCGUAGAUAUCUGGAGGAACACCGGUGGCGAAGGCGGCAUCCUGGACCAACACUGACGCUGAGGAGCGAAGCCAGGGGAGCA
rnacentral:rRNA from 1 species